GACGAACGCUGGCGGCGUGCUUAACACAUGCAAGUCGAACGGAAAGGCCCUGCUUUUGUGGGGUGCUCGAGUGGCGAACGGGUGAGUAACACGUGAGUAACCUGCCCUUGACUUUGGGAUAACUUCAGGAAACUGGGGUUACUACCGGAUAGGAGCUCCUGCACCAUGGUGGGGGUUGGAACGUCUCGGCGGUUGGGGUUGGACUCGCGGCUUAUCAGCUUGUUGGUGGGGGAGUGGCUUACCAAGGCUUUGACGGGUCGGCGGCAUGGGAGGGUGGCCGGCCACAAUGGGACUGAGGGACGGCCCAGACGGCUACGGGGGGCAGCAGGGGGAAAUCUUGCACAAUGGGCGGGAGCCUGAUGCAACAACGCCGCGGGCGGGAUGACGGCCUUCGGGGUGUAAACCGCUUUCGCCUGUGACGAAGCGUGAGUGACGGUAAUGGGUAAAGAAGCACCGGCUAACUACGUG
rnacentral:rRNA from 1 species